UUAACGCGAAGGACCUUACCAGGUCUUGACAUACUAUGCAAAUCUAAGAGAUUAGACGUUCCCUUCGGGGACAUGGAUACAGGUGGUGCAUGGUUGUCGUCAGCUCGUGUCGUGAGAUGUUGGGUUAAGUCCCGCAACGAGCGCAACCCUUAUUAUCAGUUGCCAGCAUUAAGUUGGGCACUCUGGUGAGACUGCCGGUGACAAACCGGAGGAAGGUGGGGAUGACGUCAAAUCAUCAUGCCCCUUAUGACCUGGGCUACACACGUGCUACAAUGGAUGGUACAACGAGUUGCGAACUCGCGAGAGUAAGCUAAUCUCUUAAAGCCAUUCUCAGUUCGGAUUGUAGGCUGCAACUCGCCUACAUGAAGUCGGAAUCGCUAGUAAUCGCGCUCAGAAGCCGCAGAGCCCUC
rnacentral:rRNA from 1 species